rfam:Gossypium raimondii Chr13_contig_1351, whole genome shotgun sequence.
UGUUAAAAAUUUCAUUUAUUUCUAAUGUUAAAACUUGGUGUGGUUGAUGGAAUAAUCGAACAUGUGUAUUUUAUGUUGACAUAUAUGAUUCAAUUUUUAAUAAUAGAAAUUUGAUGAAAUUUUUAACG